UACGUAGGCAGCGAGCGUUGUUCGGAGUUACUGGGCGUAAAGCGUGCGUAGGCGGUGGUCCAAGUCUGGUGUGAAAUCUCCCGGCUUAACUGGGAGGGUGCGCCGGAAACUGGGCCGCUGGAGUACGGGAGAGGCAAGCGGAAUUCCAGGUGUAGCGGUGAAAUGCGUAGAUAUCUGGAGGAACACCGGUGGCGAAGGCGGCAUCCUGGACCGGUAUUGACGCUGAGGCGCGAAAGCCAGGGGAGCAAACGGG
rnacentral:rRNA from 1 species